CAUCUCUGACUUCUCUCCCUCCAUUUUUUAAACGUCACCAACUAUCCUCACGUAUGGCUAUAGCGUCUUUCUUCUUCACUCAAUCCACGCUCUUCUUCUCUCACUGCAACAACUCGUCACUGCCACCCCACCCAACUCUCAUCUUCUUGCCUUUCAAACUUAAAAUUUGCACUUUCACGACCACCCAUUUCGUCCACACUACAGCCACCGCCAUCUCCGCAUACCGGGAUGGUGGCAGCUCGUCGGGGAGUGGCGGCGGAAGCGGUAACUGGGGCAGUGAUGGCGGUGAUGAAGACGAGGAAAGGGGCCGCAACAGGGAAGAGGCGAUGGUGGCGCUGGCGGAGGACGGCCGGGGGUUGGAGAGUUUGCCGGAAGACUUGGCGGCAGCAGUUUCCGCGGGGAGGGUUCCGGGUUCGAUAAUGCGGAGGUUCUUCCAGAUGGAACAGUCAGUUGUACUGCGGUGGUUGCUCAAGUUCCGUGGAUUUAGGGAAAGGUUGCUCGCAGAUGAUUUGUUCUUGGCCAAGCUUCUCAUCGAAAGUGGUGUUAUCAUCUUCACCAAGGCAGCUGCAGAGUUGAAGCGCCGUAAGGAAAACUUUAAGAAGGAGCUGGAUUUUGUUGUUGCGAAUGUGGUAACAGGCAUUGUAACAGGUUUUCUACUUGUGUGGUUUCCUGCACCUACUGUUUCUCUCAAACCUCCCCUUGCAGUCAGUGCUGGACCCAUUGCUAAAUUGUUCUAUGGUUGUCCUGAUAAUGCUUUUCAGGUGGCUUUACCUGGAACAUCGUAUACCCUUCUCCAAAGAAUAGGCGCUAUAGUGCGUAACGGCGCAAAGCUAUUUGUUGUUGGCACCAGCGCUUCAUUGGUUGGUACUAUGAUAACAAAUGCGUUGAUUAAUGUAAAGAAUGCUGUUAAUAAAACAUUUGCUGCCCAGGCUGAGAAUUUACCUGUAAUAUCAACCAGUGUAGCACAUGGAGUUUACAUGGUUGUCAUUAGCAACAUCAGCCUUUGUUAUCAGGUACCAGGUACUUGCAGGAAUUAUUGAGCAACGAAUUCUUGAACCAUUACUACACCGAAACAAGCUUAUGCUAACCGCAGCAUACUUUACUGUUAGAACUGCCAAUACCUACUGGGGUUCGCUACUGUGGGUGGAUUUUGCUCGAUGGGUUGGAGUCCAAAAGAAAAAGGAUUAAGCAUAUUUUAUGCAAUGCUGCAUUGGUCAAAGCCCAAGUAUAUUGAUUCAUGGAACUUCAGUUGAUGAUUAAGUUUGCUGCCCUAUAUUUUGUUUCUCUUGCUGCCUUGUCUAAGCAAAAUUGUACGUUUGUAUGUAACGAACGUUGGCAAGAGUUUUUUUGAUAUAAAACUAUAAGAAUUCUAUAUUUUUAGUAAGAAAAAAACUCAGAAAUACUUGUAAUUAAAACAAAUCUUGAAUUUACUUUGAUCAUGAGUAGUUAACCACUUGUAUAUUGUUGCGAACUAUAAUCAUCACUGUUAUUUGCCACUUGCAAUUAUGUAUUUGAUCUUU